rnacentral:rRNA from 1 species
UUGUAAGACGCGAGGAAGGAGGGGANGANGUCAAGUCAUGANGGCNUUUAUGCCCAGGGNUACACACGUGNUACAAUGGGGGAGACAAAGGGCAGCGACCUAGCGAUAGGAAGNUAAUCCCAAAAACUCUUUCUCAGUUCAGAUUGCAGUCUGCAACUCGACUGCAUGAAGCUGGAAUCGCUAGUAAUCGUAUAUCAGCAAUGAUACGGUGAAUACGUUUCCCGGACCUUGUACACACCGCCCGUCAAGCCCAUGGAAGCCGGGUG